UUUAAGAGAAUAAUGGGAAUAAUUUAACUCAUUGGGAGUUCUAUUGAAUGCUUACUAUUUAUUUGGAGGGUUAAAUGAGAUUUCGGGAUGAGUCUUCCACAUGCACUUGAACUUAUUCAGAAAAUUCAAAAGGAUCCUAGAAUAGCCUUUGCAGUGAUAAAUGACUUUUGAUGUCGUCGACUUGGUGAAGACGAGGUUGAGAGUGAAGUCUUCAUGUGAGACCUCUAGAAAUUGCACACUAAGAAAAAGAAACUGGUGCAAAUAAAGGAAAUCCGUUUCAAGAACCAAAAGAAGAAAAAAACGUUAAAAAAAUUAACUGCGGAAACAGGAAACACUCGACUGUGUAAACAUUUUCGGAGACUUUCAUAAUCAAAACUGGGCGAUCUUGAGAUUUGCAAGGAGACCCACAGGCUCAAGUCUCAGGUAUCAACCAGAAGAAGUUGCUGACGACCCAUUUACUGACGAUUUUCGAGGUCUAUUGGCAAAGGAAGAUUGGUGGUUACCGCUGGGGCUGCUGCUGGUUCCGUUCAUAGUACUGGAAAUGUGAGGAAACUGAGGGUGAGGAGACUGAACUGGAGUGCUGGGGCUAGGCAAACAAGAAGAGGUGGAGGGGAUACCUCCUGCUGGGCUGUUGGCCUUGUCACUCCCAGAGUCACUUUCCAGUUCUCCAGCAUUUGUCAGUCCAUCUCUCUGGUGACUGAUCUUCAUUCUUUUACAAGUAGGUCGAACUCUGUAUUUCAAAGGAAGCGGACCAUUCUACAAAGUUAAAAGGAAAAAAAAAAAAAUCAGUCCUCUUUAAAUACGGUUUACCACAAUAAUCUUCAAGUAUUAGAUAUGCUACUUACCCUUCUCCAGGUGUAAAUGUAGGCAAUAUCCAUUAGUGUAUAGUAAUCCUUUAAAGGUUCCUCUUCAUACAUGACAUCGAUCUAUUGAAAAAUGAUACUUCAAUUAUUAAGUACCAUAAAGAACAAAGGUAAAUCCAGAUUUUCUUUGUCAUCUAAAUACAAUCCAAAAAUGCUUCAAAAGACAUUCUCUCCAAACACUUGGACAAAGAAAGACUCCCCCUUGAAACUUUAAAAGGAAAAGAGGAGAAAUAUUUCCUGAAAUUAUGAAGGAAUUUAUAUUCAUAGCAUAAAACAAAAUUCAGACUAAACACUUUAAGAGAUAGUUCCAAUUAAGUCCUGUAUUUAAAAAAAAAAAUCCACAUUAAAUGCACCAAGACUAUAAGGCAGAUACCUGGAAAGUAUUAGGUAUGUCCAUUUUACUUCUGAGAAACUUUCUUAGGUGCAUCACAGUCAUUGCUGCUGGGCAACGUAAAUAUCUCUUAUCAUUCACCUAAGAAUACAGUUAGAAAAGUUGUUUCUUAAAAUUCUUUUCAGCUAAGAAAAAAGUUUUAAUUAGAUUGCCUCAAUAUGAUAAAAGGUAUGAAUACCAAAGCUGAGACUGACUAUAUUUUCAACUACACUUUGAGUUUACUAUUGUUGAUACUAAAUAAACAGAUUCCUGACACAGUAAGAAAACUUUAAAUAAAACAAAGCAUUAAGCAUUAAUUCUUUAAAGCAUUUUGUAAGAAUAGUAACUACAUACGAAAUAAAUUCUAUCUAGUUACUAUCAGAUAUAAAUCACUCUUAAACAUCAAAUAUGAUCAUUUUCUCCCAUUUGACAGCAUCAUCUGGCCCUAGAAUAUUCUAAAGCACAGCAUACACCCUCAUAAAGUCUAGAAGCCAAAUGCUGUUUCUUCUAUAGGUUUUUGUGACAUGAAACAUACCUCCUCCUUAGGUUUCUCCUUGUCUUUGUUUACUUUCCGAUCCAAUCUAAGAAACAUAACUUUAUUAGUGGAACAAUGUACCCAUGAAAGGAUUAGCAUAAAACCCAUUUCCUACGAAAUUUACCUGUUCUGGUCGAAGAAUUCAAUGGAUAAGCUUAUUAUCUCAUCAUCAGUUAUAAUUCUUUUAUCUUCAUCUGCAACUUCUCCUCUAUCUUCGUUAGAGCCAUUGGCAGCUAUGAAGACAUUUUGAAACUCAAUUUUAGAAAAUUAAAUAUGUAAUUAAAAUAUUACGUAGGAAGAUGGAAGUGGUACUUUAAAUUAAACUCAAUUUUAAUAAAUUACUGAAUAAUGAGUUCUCCCUCCAAAUAAAAUGUCUUUUCCCUUCUAAAGAUUUUACCAUCAGCUGAAGGAUGAGCUGCAUAAAAAUCCCUUCUUCUUUUCAUUUCAUCUAGAGGAGGAAAAAGAAAGUCUUAAACAUUUGUUAUAGUAGAUAAAACAGAUAAAUACUUUGUAAAAACUCAUUUGUAACCAAGUUACUCACUUUUGAAAAGCCCUGGAACUAAUUUGUAUACAAUAUCUUGGAGAGUUUUAUCUGACCUGAAAAAGAAUUAGAAAAGUAAAUUCUUAAUUAUAAUGGCAAAAACCUUAGAUGCUCAUAUCAGUUACUAUACAUUCUUCGUUUUCUUUCUCCUAUAGUAUCUUACUUGAUUGUGAGAGUCUCCAUCAGUAAGAUAACAAUUAUGAGAAUAAAAUUUCUUUAGGUAGUAGUACUCUUCAAUCAAUAGAAAAAUACUUUUAUUUUAUAUUCAUUAAUUCUUCACAUUUCAUGGAGUCAAGAGAAGUGUGCCUUUCAAGUUAUUAAAUUAGCUAAUAGGAAAGAGAAUAAAGAGAAAAGAAUGGAAGUAUUUUAAACACACUCAUUCCUGCUUGUCAUGAAGUCAAUAAAGCAAUGCAGAAAUGGAGAACGAAUUCAGAUUUUUAAAGAUGUGUAAAUAAAAACCUUAAAAUCCA